rnacentral:rRNA from 1 species
UCGAGAAUCUUGCGCAAUGGACGAAAGUCUGACGCAGCAACGCCGCGUGUAGGAUGAAGCCUCUAGGGGUGUAAACUACUGUCAGCAGGGAAGAAAUUGACUGUACCUGCAGAGGAAGCACCGGCUAACUCUGGGCCAGCAGCCGCGGUAAUACAGAGGGUGCAAACGUUGCUCGGAAUUAUUGGGCGUAAAGCGCGUGUAGGCGGCUUGUUAAGUUGGUUGUGAAAACCCAUGGCUCAACCAUGGAAGUGCGUCCAAAACUGGCAAGCUAGAGUUCUGACGAGGAUGGCGGAAUUCCCAGUGUAGAGGUGAAAUUCGUAGAUAUUGGGAGGAACACCGGUGGCGAAGGCGGCCAUCUGGGAAGAUACUGACGCUGAGACGCGAAAGCGUGGGGAGCAAACAGGAUUAGAUACCCACGUAGUCCCUGAGCGGGCUGGCAAGGCGCAU